UUUAGAGUAUUUGGCGUACCUAGAAAAUAAAUUUUAUUAUUUUUCGAUAUCAUUUGCCUAGUGAUCGAAUGAGCUCAAAAUCAACAAAUUUCAAUGGCCGCAGUGAGCCGUUUGCAAGUUUAACGGUGUAGAAAUAUCCAAAUCAAGUGAAAUUUUGAUAGAAAAUUCUUUAUACUAUAUAAAACAAGAUCAAUAUCUUUGAUUUAAAAUUUUAAUGUCAUAUUAUUACAUUUUGUAAUAUUUUUAUUUUCAGCCGUUGAUUUUGAGUCCCUUCGUUUACUAGGCAAAUGAUAUCGAAAAAUAAUAAAAUUUAUUUUCUAGGUACUCCAAAUACUCUAGAUCAAGUUUAACGGAGCCGAUCGACGAUUCGAAAGUCGCAACUUCGAAAACGAGCUAGAAGCACGGAAGGCUCCGUGCUUCCUAUAGCAUAGUAGCCUCACUCUAUAUAUAUAUAUAUAUAUAUAAUUUUAUCCAAUUUUAUUUUUAUAUUUUAUAAGAAUUAUAAUUAUUUAUGAUAAUCGCAUAAAUCUAAAAAAUAAUUAAUUAAAUAAACAAAUUUUUAUUCCGAAUUUUAAGUGAUAAGCGUAAAAUUUUCAUAUAAAUUGUGUAUACGAAUUAUUGGCGAAUCUAAUUUUUAAACUGUAUUUUUUAACGAAUUUAAAAAUUAAGAUAUGAAUUUUAGUCAUAUUUUAUCCUUACUGAAUUUUUAUCGUAUCUGAAUUAACUAACUAUGGUAUAGACCCAAAGGGGCCAUGGCCCCCCCCUCAACUUUUAAUAUUUAUUUUAUAAUGCUUUAGAAACUUAUAAAUUUUUAGUUAAUUUUUAAAUAUAUGUGCCUAUUUUGUAAAAGGUUUUUAGUGCGAGUAUAGAGCUCUCUUUCUUCUUAUGUGUUUUAUAAAUAUACUAACAACCUCUUAAUUACAGUAUAUUUUGAAAUAAGUCAUUUCAACUUUAAAUAUUUUAAAUAUACAUUCUUAACUUUCUAAUUAUUUUUAUGAGCUAAUUUAUUUAACUAAAUAAAAUAGUAUGCUAAAUUUAAUAGUUUUGUUAGAUAUUAGUCAUUUGUUGUUAUUAUUUUAUUAACAAAAAAUAAAAAAAUUAAAUUCUAACUAAGCUACUAUUAGAUUUAGUAAAAUUCUUAAGUUAUUUGAAUGGAAUAAUGCAAAUAAAAUAAUUAGAAGUUGAGCAAGUGUAAAUUAAAGAAAUAAAUUUAAUUUUUUUAACAUUAAUUAUCUAAUCACUAUAUUUUUUAAUUAAAAAUUUGAGUAAUUAAAAUUUUUAUUUGUACAUAUUUUUACUCCCCCGUGAUUGAAUCCUAACAUCUUGAUUAUAAGCACUUUUAAAUUUUUUGGACCAUUAAUUCAAAGCGUAAAGAUAGUACUUUUAGCUAGCCACCAUGUUACUAAACUAAUCCUUAAUAACAUAAAAUUAAGGAAAUGAGAUACUUAUUUUUACAGCAGUUAAAACUAUGGAAACAAAAUUAAAAACAUAGAAUAAUAACUUGCAACUUUUCGAACAACAGAAAUAAAAAUGCAAUCGACCAAAUUAAGGAUCACUGAUUGAAAUGUUGUCAAAAAAAGUAAAAAUUAAGGGAAUACUUAUAUAAAAAAAAAUAAAAUUAAGGUGCCUGUUUCAUCAAUUUAAUCCCUGUUUUUUCUGUACAAAAUAAUGCACGAAUUUUAUAGCAAUAAUGUAAAAAAAAUUCUAGAAUGUAACGCUUGUAUAUAUAUGUCAUGCCAUAUCAUGUACGUCCUAACAAAAUACACAAAUGCUUUCAAAAAUAAAAUAAAAUUAGUCCCCUACGUAUCAUAUUAUGUUAAAUUAAUAUUUUAAAAUAAAUUUUAACGAACUUGAUGGUUAAAUUGAUAGAGCUGAAUCUUUGAGGACCAAUUAGAAUGCACAUAUGAUAUAGUACACCAAAUGCUUUAACUUAUUGACGAGUAGUUUUUUCUAAAUCUAAUUUGUACAUCUGAUAUACCCGAUGUUUUUAGGGGGCAUAUACAAAUUAAAGGCCUCAAUAUAUUUUUAGAUUGUUUCUUAUUAAAUUGAUUUUCAAAUAAUGUGAUAUUAAAGCCAAUUGUAAACUCCUAAUUAACAUAUAUAUAUAUAUAUAUAUAUAGUGUAUGUAAUUGUUUCUUAUAAUGUAAUAAUUUUUUAUAUAGUCGCAUGCUUCUUCUCUAGUGGUUGCAACCGAAUUAGUUUUAUAGUUAAUAAAAAAAAAAUCAAAUGAAAUAGUUGAUUGAACACUAGAAUAUCGAGAAGUAGCUAGCAAGGAAAGAACGCGCGUACAUGUACGAUAUUACUCUAGAUUUAUGCUCCGUACGUAAGCGUGUAUUUGCAUCCGCCAUGCAUAGAGACCUUUUUCAUGUUCACACACCAAGGGAAUUCUCUCUCUCACUCAAAAGGUAAAAAAAAAGAAAAAAGAAAAAAAAAUCUCAAAGAGCAGCAGAAUUAGUAUCACGUCAAUAUGAUCAGCAAAACUAGCAGAAACAUCAUCAGUAUUUCUAGUACUUCUUCGUUUACUUCUUCUGCUUCUUCUUCUUCUUCUUUCGCAGCGGCCGCUGCCUCCGUUUGUGAUGCUAUGAACCGCGCUGGAUCCUCAUGAUUGCUCGAAUUGAGAGACAAAACCCCCGCGCGCAAAGCAACUUGCGAUUCCUCUUCAUCUCCACCUCCUCCUCCCUCCGAGCCUCCCGAAUUGCGCUCGCUCUCAGUUAUCUGCAACAUAUUCUCCUAACCACAUGUUUUCUUAAUUUAAUUCAAGAAGAAAAAAAAUAAAAGAAAGAAGAUACAAAUCCACGAGAACUCAAUCGAUCGAUCAAUCACCUUCGCUUCCAUUUCUUCACUAUCCCCUUCUCUAAAAAAAUAAAUAAAUAAAAAAUAAGAAUCAAGCAUUACUAGCUAGCAUUUCCAAGAGAUUAGAAAGAAACAUAUAUGCAUGGGAUUACGUACAAGGGUCUGUUGUUGUUGUUGUCGCCGUCCGAAGGCGGAGCCAUCUUCUUGAUCUGAAGAGCCGUCAUGAGCCAGAGUGGUUGACAUCGGCAGUAUUCUUCCUCCUCCUCCUCUCGCUCGUCGGGCGGCGGUGUCUUCUUGAUCAAAAGAGGUAUGACGGGCCAAAGCUGGCGCCGAACGGCAUCUUCCGCCGCCUCUCCACCAUCGGGCAUCAUGGGCCGGAGCAGCCAACGUCGACCAUCUUCUCCGUCCUUCUCUCGCUCGUCGGUCACCUUCUUGAUCGGAAGAGGAGACAACCGCCGGAGUAGCCGACGUCGUCGCCCGCCUUCUUCCUCCGCCGCCUCUCGCUGCAGCUCGUAGGGUGCCGUCUCCGACCGCCACUGCAAUGGCCCCUCCAGCGACGAGGAUGAAAGCUCUGAUGCCUCUCAUGUUAACUCUCCACGCCAUGAUCAAGAAUAAGAUGNAUGGGCCGGAGCAGCCAACGUCGACCAUCUUCUCCGUCCUUCUCUCGCUCGUCGGUCACCUUCUUGAUCGGAAGAGGAGACAACCGCCGGAGUAGCCGUUGCCGACUGUUUACUUCUUCCUCGGCUGCCUCUCGCCCGUCGAGUGAUGAUGGCCGCUCCGACCGCCACUGCAAUGGCCCCUCCAGCGACGAGGAUGAAAGCUCUGAUGCCUCUCAUGUUAACUCUCCACGCCAUGAUCAAGAAUAAGAUGAGUCUUAUUCCGGGCUCUUAUUCCACCUUCUUAUAUAUUCCUCCUUUAUCCUUACUAAUGUAUUUAUAGCACGUUAAUCCCCCUCUUUACGUGGGAUCCCGCGCCAAAAUUUAGUUGUUGUAUAUAUAGAUAGAGAAAUGCUUAAGUCUACAGUCAAAAAGUUGCAAUUUCUAGGAUUUCUCAUCUCAUCAGCUUUGCUAAUUCCUUUUUGAAUUUUAGUUAGAACGAAAUAAUAAGAUAAGUAAAUAAAAUAGAGUAAAAUUAUAGAACAGCAUCCGAAAGUGAGUUAAAGACCUAACAGCACUCAAAAGAUAUAAUAUAUGUAUAUUCUUCUACUUUAUGGACUGAGUCAUAUUAUACGAGACAAUUCUAUCAGCCAUUCAUUCACAGAUUUUAAAAUUCACACCAUUCACGUGAUAAAUAUUUGAUAGAAUGAUCACACGUUAAUUUGGGGACUGUUCUACCAAAUUUUACAACAUCGAUGGAUGCAUGCAAGGGUACGUUCUUGGAUUGAGAAAUUAUUGCCUUGUUAAGGCAAACGCACAAACAAAAACAAAAUAAUGAAUACAAAAUAAACAAACCACAAGUAGAAACAAAAUAGAACACAGAUUUAUGUGAAAAAUCUUUUGCAGGAAAAAAUCAUGGGCGAAGGAGGAGAGAACUUUACUAUCAAACAAAAAAGAGAAUACAGUGUUCAGAGAGUACAACCAACCAUGAUCUGUCGGUCCGAGCCCUCCGCUACCUAUCACAGACAUUUAUUUUUUCUUCACAACUUAUUUUUCAAAUUGGUCGCACCGCGAAACUAUCAGAUAGUCGAAGUUCCGAAAUGAGGUCGAUUAUCAAAUUCGAGUCACAUCUAACAUACAUUAUAUGCAUCAUGCAGUGUAACUAAUUGUUUAUUAUUAUUAGAGGAAAAUAGUGUGCUAUAUGCUCUAUUCAUUAUUUUAUAAAUAGAUUUAGUUAAAAAUAGGAAGCAACUAGGUUUCUAACUCAUACCAACAAUUAAGUUCUUUACUACCAACGCUUAGAGACGGUCGAUACAUCUAAUUUAUUAUUAUGAUUAAAUUUUUUAGAAUGAAAAUUCAGCUAGUUAGAUUUGAUUUACAUCAUCUAAUUAAGGGUCUAUAAUAAGAAAUUAUCAAAUUUAAAACUCAUUUAUAAAGUAUUAAGUAGUUUCAAUAAUGGGUGCUUUAUAUGAUCCUAUAUGUGUCAUCUAAUUAAGGAUCGCUCCUAAAGUUGCUACUUUUUAAAUAUAUAUAUAUAAACAUAAAGUAGUUUGGUUAAACUUUAAUUUGCUCGUAUAUAUGGUUUAGUGCAUUUUCGCUUUAUAGAUCACUCUUUGAUUCAAAAAAUUAUAUUUAAUUUUUUUGUACUAUUAUUUUUGUUUAAUGAUAUAUAGAUACUUAUAGUAAAACCAAAAGUAAAACAAUAGAAUUGUUAAAGGUAUUUUUGAAUCAUAGAAUUGCAAAGUAAAAACACAUUAAAUCACAGAAUAAUUAAGUGCUACUUUUUAAACCACGGAGUGAUAAAGUAAAAAUGCGCUAAACUUCCAUGAGAUUAAAGUUUACCCAAUCCCUUUUGAAGUGUAAUAUCUGAGACCUCAUUUUGAAUUUGAAAUUGAAUUGUAUAUAAAUAACACGUCUAUAUAUAUUGUGGUUUAUGCGUAGAUGGAGAGAGGAUAGAUUUGUCGCAAAUCUGCAAUUGAAUAAGGUGAAACAAAAUAGUGGUUUUCAUGGCUCAGUAAUGCCGGAAGUGUUGGUGUAGUCCGUUCGCAUAUCCGACGAAUAGAUCUUCUGAUAUUGCGUGAUCUUCGAGAAAGGGUCCAAAUUGGCAAAAUGAAGAUUUUGCAAAACCCCCUAUAUUUUACGUAUCACGCAAAAUCGCACAUGAAGGUUCCUGCAUACAUUUUACUCGCGCUGUGGAGGAUUUGAUUGCCAAUUCUAAGAGAUGAGGGAGUUUCCUGCAAUUAUUCUCUCUUGUAUAUAUAUAUGUAGCAUCUAGGGUUUCUUCCUCCUAACCAUAACCCUAGCUCCCACAUCCUCCAAACCGAGCCUAGCCGCCUCCCCUCUCAUCCCUCUGUGCACCGCGCACUUUUCGGCCACCAGCGACCAAUUCAGACCAUCCGCCACCACCAUCCUCUCGCUCUCUUUCAUCCUUGCCACUAUUAUUGCUACCUUCCUCUCCUUCUUUGCCGUGGGCUAGGCAAGGCGCACCCUCCACCCUCGGGCUCCCCUUUGGUGGCACUCUAGACCUCUGGCGAGCCCUCCCGCCGACUACAGCCGCCCUCAAGCACCGCCGCCGCAGCUGCUGCAAAGUUAGUGCCAUCUAGGGCACGUGCUGCUGUGCCGUGCUACGCUGCCUCUGCCGCCGCCAUCUACCGUCUCCUUCCCUCCCUAUCAGUCCUAGAGAAGGCCUGCGGCCCUUCCACAGUGGUCCCAGCCAUCGCUGUAGCCGGAGAAGAAACUGCGAGCCUGAGCUCACCUAUGCAGGCUCAAGUUGAUCCCACGCAGCCACCGCUGCCUCCUGCCGCUGACUAGCACAUGCGCUGACCUCCCCCCGUCGGCCGCACCUCCCUGCCGUCGGUAGUCCCGCCGUCGAGUUGCUGCCGGCCAGGCUUGGACCUGUCUGCUCCCAACAAGCCCAGUUAGGCCUUAUUUCAUGUACUCUUCGUUGUUUCGGCGAUCCAGGGCCAUUCCAAUACCUCAAAAGGUGAGCACGGUGAUCCUGGGCUUCGUUGAUCACAGUGCUCACUUUGUUCACCGUCGGAGAGCCCCGAAUUAUCGAUUUUAGCCUUAUCGGUCCCAGUGCACAUUCCUAGCUGAUCAUCAGCUUGCUCCAUGCACUCCACAGUGGUUUGUUGUACUCCGAACAGUGCUCGAUGAGACCUAUCUGCCGGUACCUUUGGUUGGCCUCGAAAGUGCUUGGAUCAAGGUAAUGACCUUAACAUCCUUAAAUUGCAUGUGUAAUUUGUGAUUAUUAAGAUUGUUAGGGACUUCUGUGCAAAUAUUGCACUACAGGCUACUGUGGGCAACAUGCAAAUGUUGCGUGUGACCUUUGGACUAAUUGUCCAAGGUCUGAAGCUUCUUGCAGCGACAUAAUAUCGAUUUUGUGCGUUUUUCGGCGAAAUUCACCGGCGGAACGUGGUUUCGGUUCAGGUUUCACCUGACUCUAUUGAAAUGCUUUAGGUUUUGCCACUAAGCCAUGUUAGCUGGCCACCCACCUCGUCUCGAGUGUUCGGAGACGACGGGUGAGCGACAGAGGGUUCUGGUGUCAAAUUUGAUACUUCUGGGAACCCGAAUCGGAACGAUUAUCUGACAAUAAUUGUUUCGAUAUGAGAAUUAGUGUUUGCUGCUGGGACACCCAAAUCGGUGUUUUUCGAGUCAGCAGGUGACUCGUGGCACGAGUCGGUGCAUUUCGGGACACUUCGUGGGUCCCAGCGGCAUCCCGAUGUGAAUUUUGGGACUUUUGGUGAGUUACAAAGAUCUAUUUUUGAGAAACUAAGUCCUUGGAAUAUUGUCGGGAUUGUGUGUUUGAGCCAGUGGCUUGGACUCUGACUCAGUGGACCAUUCAUAGGUUCGGCUGACUAUCCUACGCAUCGUAGGGGCAGUCGUGAUAGUGACACAUUGAUAUUUCGACCUGAAGUCGGUCUAGUGGUUCACGCUCAGUGAUGGUCCCUCCACCCUCUCUCUAUACUUCUUGCAUUAUUCACUAUUGUUGAGCUUGACACCAUGUGACUCUGAUUCUUAUUUCUCUACUUAGUUAUUUCCUAGACUUUCUUAUCGUGAUCUAGAAAUAAAACAGUUGUUGAUGAUACUUGUGCGUGAUGUGAUAACAGUUGUGACCUAGUUGGUCGUUUUCGAGACUCCAGUUGCUUGAUGACCUAUUCGGUUGGUAUAUCUUGAGGGGUUCAAUUGUUGGCUACUUGCUGACGGCUAUUGAGCAUAUUUUGCAGCAGAGUAGCUACAACUUAAUUGAGCCCUCUUUUUUAAUUUCUCCUACCCUUCUCGUCUUCUAUAAAUCCACAAGAAAUAAUCUUCCUUUUUUUCUCUCAGAUGCACUCGUGCACUAGGUGCAUGCAACCAUGGCCAAGCUUCUCUAUGGUACGGACAUCCCAAGCCUAAGUCGUACUAACCUAUAUUGAAGCUUCAACUUAAUAAUUAACUUGGUCGUACUUCCUCAAAGAGAACCAUGAUGCUUAUGCGCAUCAACUAAAACAUACCCUAAUUAGGAUUCCUACUCCAAAAAAUAUUUAUAUCUAUAUUUAGUUUAUCUCAAAUAAAUUUAAAUACCUAUCCUAAUAUAUCUAGAAUUAUACUCAAAUUAAUAUUUAAAUCUUAAUUUAUCUCCAAUAGAUUUAAAUAUUAACUCUUAUCCAACUAGAAAAUCAAUUACAAAUCUAACCAAAUCCUAACAAAGCCAACCAGCAGACCGAGGAGGUUGACGACGAGGUCCUAGUCACACUGCACAAGAUUCGGCCCAUCAACAAUAGUGGUCGACGAGAAAGGAUGAGAGAUACAGUUGCAGGGAGAGACUCAGGCGCAUACGAUAGUACUCAGCCGACAAGUGCUCCUCAACAGCUUCAAGGGUGAGCUCAACCAUCAGAGAAUGACUGCGGGUUUGACAGGCAUCACUGGAUGCGGUUGGUAGUGGCGGCGACCGGAGGUGGGAAAGCUUGGCUGAGAGAGAAGAUUCCAGUGCAUCACAACCACACCUCAGCCUACAGCCGAUCUAUUUUGGGCAAGUUUUACGGUGAACCAAACAGCCCCUGAAGGAAAAUAACUAGAUGUUCCCCUCGUGAUUUUCAAUGUAGCGCAUGCUAUCAGAGGACAAAAGGAUUUUUUUCACUUUUAGCCACCUAGUAAGAUUAGUCUUAUCCCCGCCAUACAAGCGCCACACAAGUGCCCCAUGAGUGUAAAAAAAUAAGUUUAACACAGUGCACCAUUCACCGUAUCCAAACAUGAUAAAUAGUUGACCGUGUUCAACUAAACUUAUACAACAUUUAAUACAAUAAACAUAGUACCGACCAUCCCUAGAGCAAGUGGCAAAGGGCUUGGUGGUUGGUACCCGAGACCCAAGUUCGAAUCCUAGUUGAUUCACAUUUCUAGCUAAGUUUAUUUCUAAAUGAAAUAAACGAAGUGGGUAGCGUGUUANUAUGAAAAAAAAAAAAAAAAAUAGUGAAUGUGAAAAGGACACAGUUUAAGUAAAAUAUGAAAAGGACAUAGUGGGCCAUUCACUGUGUCCAAACACGGUGAAUGAUUCACGAUAUUCAAUUUAACCAGCCACGCUUACAUGCGCUCGCAUAGCGCUUGCGUAGCAAGAUAAGGCCAAUUUUACAAAUAUAAAUUUUCUGAUGUUAUUUGUGAAAAAACAAUUUGAGGGGGCUAAAAGCAAAAAAAUGCCCUAGGAUAAAAGAGAAAAAUGUAUAGAGAACCCCUCAACUAUAGGAAAUUAGCUCCUCAAAAUUUUGCUUUAAGUACUUUUAAUUAAUUAAGUUUUAUUUUAUUAUGUCAAACACUAAUUCCAUUAAUCUUUAUAAUUUUAAUCAUUAUUUAAUAAAUAAAACUAAGAAAACUAUUGGUAACUAACUAAUAAAGCUAUCAAAUUUUAAAAAUAAAUUGUGCAAUUUUAGUGAGAAAAUUUAAAAUUAUAAUAAAUUUUUUAAUAAUUUACUAAUCCUUAAAUCCUUAAUAGUUUAAAUUACUGUACAAUAAAAAAAGUUUUAGUUAUUAAUAGUCAAUAUGUAAUAAAAUUAUUAAAGUUGAUAAAACAUUUAACUUAAAGUAACUAAAAAUUUUCAAAUCAAAAAAUUAAAAAUUCAAAUAUAUCUAUAUCUUAAAAAAAAAGGAAUGGGAUGGCAUUUUGAAAUAACACCCUCAACUUUACUCUCUCAAAUUGGCAACCUAAGGUUUUAUUUUUAAUGAUGAAGUAAUUUUUACUAACUAUAUUAUAAAUUUUAGGCCUUUUUGUAACAACAACAACAAAAAAAAUCACUAGUUGUCCAUUCUUGCAAAAAUAGGUUAUUUCACUACAACAAAAACAGUAUAUAGCGACACUUUUAAAUAUUGGUACACGUCAAAAAAAAGUGUUGCUGGCUAAAUUAUCGAUACUUUUAAAAAGUGUUGCUAUAUGUGGGGUUGCUAGGUAUAUAGUGAUAGUUUAAGAGUGUCGGUAUAACCUAAAAUAAUGCUGUUAAUUUAUCAACACUUAUUUGAUCAUUUAGUAACUGCCAAAACCUUACUUCGUCGGAUGCGGCGGCAGAGGAGGAGGAGAGUGAGGGGCUCUUCGUCUAGGGUUUCAGUGAAUUGAGUGAGGGGAGAAGGGGAGAUGGUGAUCGAUUUUUUUUUUUUUCCUUUUCUGUUUAUAAUUGGGCCGAAUGGACUGGGUGGGAUAGUUUGAGUAGAGUAAUAUUUUAUUUUUUGUUGCAUUGGGCUUUAUAUUUAAGCCUUAGUAGAUUUUUUUUAAAGUUUUGACGUAAAAGGGACAGUUACACAAAAGUGUCCCAAAAAUAUGUCUCUAUAAUCUAAUUUUGUUAUAGUUUUUUUUUUCUUUUUUUCUUUUUUUCUUUUUUUUUUUGCAGAUUUGAACAAAUUUUUUUGAAAAUUGACAAAAAUACCUCUGUGCCUUAAAUACCAAUCUCUUCUUCUUCGCCCCCUUCUUGUGGACGAUGUCUCCACCAUAUAUUGGCGCCAGCCUUGAGCGCUCAUUCCAUCUCCGCCAUCUCGACACUAACUCCUCCGUCGCGUCCACAUUGUGAACACUUUUACUAGCGAGAGAACACAACGAAUUUAACCCGUUCGUCGUCAUGGCCACUCAACACUUUGCCAAACACGGAGACAAAAGUGGCAGAGGAGGAAGACAAUAAUCAUUGGUUGAAAUGCUUUCGAAACAUGCUCGCAGUGAGGGUAACCGAUAGCGACGAGAUGGUGGCAAUAGUAAAAGAAAAUUAAUCUGCCGAAUGACGCGAUACUGUAAAAAAAUCUAGCGAAUGAUGCAAUACUAUACAGUUAUUAAAAAGUUGCACAUUCCGACAUAUAUUAUACUAGCUAGCUAUUUAGUAAAAAGAAAUGCACUAUUUUACAAUUUAAAAUAUGUACCAAAAUAAUACAACUUUCUUACUAAAUAGUACAAUAUAUGUUUGAAAAGUGCAACUUUUUUAAAUAGUGCAAUAUCACAUAUAUCGUUCGCAAGUUUUUUUCUCUCUCACUACCACCAUCACUCCACCGACUGCCUAGGCCAUUUCUCUCGAACCCGCUUGAGAACUUGCUUCGGGAGUAUUCUCGAUCAACGAUCUUUGUCCUCCUCCUCCGCUACCUCCGCCUCCAUCUCCGCUGAUGCUUCGAGUAGCACCAUUGUCAUCUUUUCUGAUGCUACCUCGCCGGAAAACACCGAGAACAGCUACAGCCACGACGAGCGAGUCAAGCUUUGUCAUUAUCCUUUUGCAUAUGCGCAAGGAAGGAGAGGAGCGCUCCGGGGACGUGAGGGCAGUGGAGUGAGAGGAAACUGGAGGAGAAAGAGAGUGAGGAAAGAAAGAAUACGUGUAUUUUAGUCAUUCUAAAAAAAUUUAGAUUAAAUCUGCAAAAACAAAAAAAGAUGACUCAUUUCGUAAAAUCGCAUAGCUAGUUAAUUUUUUAUGCAAAAGGCUUUAAUUUUAUCAAAUUUAUGAAUUUAUCAAAUUUAAUAAUUUUAACCACGUUUUAAAUAUAGUAAAACUAAAUAUAAUAUUUUUUAUUUAGUUUACUAAAAAUACUCAAGAUAAAAAUACAGAGUGUUUAUUCCAACAUUAAUCACAAAAUUAAAAUUAGGGGCAAUUUCAAAAUAACCAACACCAGAGGUAUAUAUAUUCACCUAUAGGCUAUUUUGAAAUAGACUCAACUAUUUUCAUUUUAAUCAAAAUCAAAAUCCCUCAUAAACUUUUACUUUUUUAUUUUUUUUUAAUAAUAAGUUGAAUUAAAAUUUUUACAAAAACAUUAAUUUGUGUAAUUUUAUUUAAUAAAAAGUGAUUUGAAUUAUUAAAUUUGAAAAAAAUUAUCCAAUAAUUUGUAAUAGAAUCUUUAAUUUAAUUACUUGAUUAAAAAUUUUGUGAGUUGAGAGCAUCCAAGUCAAAACAUGAAAGUUAAGGGGUAAUUUAUGACCGUGCUGAAGUUGAGGGGUCUCCAUUCAUUUUACUGAAACAAAAUAAAGUUGAGAACCUAUUUCAACACGAAUCAUAGUUGAGGGGUCUCCAUGCAAUUUUACCUACAAUAAAAGGGCGGCCUUUUUUUGCAAAUAGCCUCCUCACAAAUUUUUUAAAAAAAAAUAGCCCUGUCCAAAAAUUAUUUGAAAAAAUGGCCCUGGCCCUGCCACGCAAGUGCCACGUCAGCACCACGCAGGCGGGGCUGGGGCCAGAUGUUUAAGUUGAACACGGUGAAUGGUUCACCGUGUCCAAUACACGGUGAACUGUUCACCGCGUUUAGACACGGUGAACCAUUCACCGUGUCCUGCUUGAAUAUACUAAUUUUGGCAGUGUGGGGAAUUUGUAUUGGACACGAUGAACUGUUCACCAUGUCCAAUACAAACUCCACCACUUACCCAUUUUUUGCCCAAGUGGUGGGGAUUUGUAUUGGACACGGUGAAUGGUUCACCGUGUCCAAUACAACUACCCACCCUUAGCCCUUUUUUUGGCGUCAAAAAUCAAAUCAAAAUACAUUUCACAACAUCAGCAUAUUUUUGGAGCAAAAAAUAAAAUCAAUACACAUCACAACAUCACAACAUAACAAUACAAUACAAAUACCUAAACGCAACAGUACAAUACAACAUCACAGCAUCACAACACAACAGUACAAUAUAUACAUCACUACCAACAGAUACUCAAUAAAUUAUCAAUACAAGAUAAUCGCAACAGAAUAUCCAAAAUUAAAGCAAGUUUUGCAAAAAUAUAGAAAUAUAAUAUCACAUUCUCCUCCUAUCCCCUCGACCACGUCGCCUACCACGUCCACGACCACGAUCAACACCAUGCUCAUCAAAAGGCUCUAAGAUCUACAACUGGUCCAGAUGCUCGAUAGCAGCACCCUCAAUAACCGGCUCAAUCACAGCAGUAGCAGGUGUCGGUCGUAUGUUUGGCCAUGGAGGAGCUGAAGAGGAGGGCUGAUCUGUAUGGAUAGACCUCAUAUGUCGUCGGCGCCUAAAAUAAACAAUAUCAGCUGCUUGAGGUGGAUCCUGUGGUGCUGGUGCUGGUGCUGGUGCUGGUGCCGGCUCCUCUAUAGGUGAUGAUGGCCUCGGUGGACUAUAUAUACUGGUGCAUGGCCGGACGUCGAUGCUCCACCAUAGUCUACUGGUCGUGGAGGUACAGAGUGUGGAAGCGUAGGUAAACUCUCCAAAACUGCUUUCAUCUGAUCGGCAACCUGUGAUAGGUCAUCUAAUACUCUACCUCCUGAAAUAUCUGAAAUGACACGUCUGAUCGUAUAAUGUGAUCUCUGCACGAUAUCAACCUGAAAUAAAAGCACAAUCAAAAAGAUUAUACGAAACUUUCUUAUAUAUAUAAAACUAAAUAUAAAAAGAUAUUAUAUAUAACAAUCAUACCAAUACUCUCUCGACGUGCCCACGUGGCUGAUACGCGAGUGGUGGCCGCUGUACAGGUGUAGAUAUCCACCUCCUAGUGAUCAUCCAAUACCACUGCAUGUAAACAGUAGUAGCUCGUAUCGGAUCUGGAUCUGUCCCAGGGGCCACCUCUGCUAUAUCUACCAAUCUAUCAUUCCAACGCUGAAUGUGUGAAGCAUGGUAUGCCGCCCAAUCCUCAUCUGAUCUGCCUCGUGAAUUGAUGCGAGGUAUGGCCAGCACUGCUUCAGGUAUAUGCUGUAAUAGCCGAAAUUGUCGAAGCACACGAUCGGGAUGAUGGAGCUCAAUAAUGUGGAAGCAGACUAAGGCAGUCCUCGAUCGCCAAACCUGAGACCCCGCUAGACAAAAAGGUGGAAGCAUCUCUAACACCGUGUCGUCAUAAGGCCUCCAUGUAAUCUAUUGUGAAAAAUACAUAUGAUUAGUUAUCAAAAUUAAACUAUAUUGAUCUCGUGUUAUCAAAAAUGAACUAUUGUGAAAAAUACAUAUGAUUACUAUGAAAAUAUGACGAAGUAUUGAAAGGAAACAUAUAUUGGUGUUGUAAUAUAUGGAAACUUUAAGUUGCGACAUCAACUUUGAGGAUUUGACAUGGGUUUCUUGAUUAUUAAGCCAUGUUUGUUAUGAAACCUAAAAAAGCUAUAUAUAUAUAUAUAUAUAUAUAUAUAUAUAUAUAUAUAUAUAUAUAUAUAUAUUACUAUGCUAUCGAAAGUAUAGAGGAUCUGGCGUUUUCGAUUUUUUGAUUCUUAGANCGUUAAACUUGAUCUAGAGUAUUUGGAGUACCUAGAAAAUAAAUUUUAUUAUUUUUCGAUAUCAUUUGCCUAGUGAUCGAAUGGGCUCAAAAUCAACAAAUUUCAAUGACCGUAGUGAGCCGUUUGCAAGUUUAACGGUGUAGAAAUAUCCAAAUCACGUGAAAUUUUGAUAGAAAAUUCUUUAUACUAUAUAAAACAAGAUCAAUAUCUUUGAUCUAAAAUUUUAAUGUCAUAUUAUUACAUUUUGUAAGAUUUUUAUUUUUAGCCGUUGAUUUUGAGCCCCUUCGUUCACUAGGCAAAUGAUAUCGUAAAAUCAUAAAAUUUAUUUUUUAGGUACUUCAAAUACUCUAGAUCAAAUUUAACGGAGCCGAUCGACGAUUCGAAAGUCGCAACAUCAAAAAAUGAGCUGGAAGCAAGGAAGGCUCCGUGCUUCCGAUAGCAUAGUAGCCUCACUCUAUAUAUAUAUAUAUAUAUAUUUAUAUUGGCUUUGGCAGUUGGAAGUUGAAACUAGUUGAAACUAGUUGGUAGUUGGCAGUUGGAAGUUGAAACUAGUUAAUAUGCAGUUCGAUAAAUAGUUGAAACUAGUUGGAAGUUGAAACUAGUAAAAUGUAUUCGCGUAAGCUCGAUAAUGCACUUUUGCAGGAUUGAGACCCUAACUUGAAAUUGCUCGCGUGCAAACCUAUUUAAGGUUAAAGCGAACACGUUUGCGAAGUCGGUUCGGCAAUCCGUC
rnacentral:lncRNA from 1 species